rnacentral:rRNA from 1 species
UACGAAGGGGGCUAGCGUUGUUCGGAAUUACUGGGCGUAAAGCGCACGUAGGCGGAUACUUAAGUCAGGGGUGAAAUCCCGGGGCUCAGCCCCGGAACUGCCUUUGAUACUGGGUAUCUCGAGUCCGGAAGAGGUGAGUGGAAUUCCGAGUGUAGAGGUGAAAUUCGUAGAUAUUCGGAGGAACACCAGUGGCGAAGGCGGCUCACUGGUCCGGUACUGACGCUGAGGUGCGAAAGCGUGGGGAGCGAUCCGG